GAUGAACGCGGCGGCGUGCCUAACACAUGCAAGUUGAGCGAGGGUUUGCUCAGUAUUGAAUAUUCUAAGUCUAGAAUGUUCAAUACUGAGCAAAACCAAGCGGCGGACGGGUGAGUAACGCGUGGGUAACCUGCCCUAUACACAUGGAUAACAUACUGAAAAGUUUACUAAUACAUGAUAAUAUAUAUUUGUGGCAUCACAGAUAUAUCAAAGUGUUAGCGGUAUAGGAUGGACCCGCGUCUGAUUAGCUAGUUGGUGAGAUAACUGCCCACCAAGGCGACGAUCAGUAGCCGACCUGAGAGGGUGAUCGGCCACAUUGGAACUGAGACACGGUCCAAACUCCUACGGGAGGCAGCAGUGGGGAAUAUUGCACAAUGGGCGAAAGCCUGAUGCAGCAACGCCGCGUGAACGAUGAAGGUCUUCGGAUCGUAAAGUUCUGUUGCAGGGGAAGAUAAUGACGGUACCCUGUGAGGAAGCCCCGGCUAACUACGUGCCAGCAGCCGCGGUAAUACGUAGGGGGCUAGCGUUAUCCGGAUUUACUGGGCGUAAAGGGUGCGUAGGUGGUCCUUCAAGUCGGUGGUUAAAGGCUACGGCUCAACCGUAGUAAGCCGCCGAAACUGGAGGACUUGAGUGCAGGAGAGGAAAGUGGAAUUCCCAGUGUAGCGGUGAAAUGCGUAGAUAUUGGGAGGAACACCAGUAGCGAAGGCGGCUUUCUGGACUGCAACUGACACUGAGGCACGAAAGCGUGGGUAGCAAACAGG
rnacentral:rRNA from 1 species